GUCACUAGUAUCUGUGUUCAGUAAGGGAUGAAUUUUUCUUAUGUUGUUUAUCGAAGGGAAUUAAAAGUUGAUUAAUGAUUAAUGUGAGGCCAAAGAUAAUAAACAAAAUAAACAUGAUUCUGUGUUAACAUUGUUUUCCCUAUUUGAUAUUUUAUCUUAUCUUUCCCUCCCUACCUAGUUACCUGGUUGUCAGGUGAAGAAUAAAGAAUCUGAGAUGCUUUGAUUGGAUGGAUUGGCUUAUUUUGAUUACCUCGAUAUAGACCAUUGUCAUUGAUUUAACCGCAAACCAACCUUUGGUUCAUCGAGAUAACUGGUUGACUUGAAAAAUUUCUGGUUGCAUUUAAAAAGCAUCAAGUAUGUCAACCGAUAUCACUUUUCCUAAGAAAGUUUGCUUUUGUUUGUUAACUGGAUUUAAUGACAAUGGACCAAUUGAUCUUUCAAAGAAACCAACCAGUUUCCUUGGUUGAUUGGCUUAAUUGGUACAGGUCACUUAUUAUUGAAAUCUGGUUUGGUUUGAUUUUUUAUUAUUAUCAAAAAUCAUUUUCUAAUCUUUUCCAUUCUCAUCUUCAGGUCUUCUUCAUCUUCUCAAAGUCAGUUUUGUAUCAAAUAAUGAUAACCACAACAACAAUGGAGUCAACAAAGAAAGAAAUCACGGAGCGCCUGUUAACCAGGUCAAUUAAUCUUUCAACAAAACAAUUAAACAUCAUCUGAACUGCAAAUUUGUUUUUUAUUGGCCAUCAAUUGACUGUUGGAAUUAUAAUAAUCCCAAUAACUGAAACAUGGUUUAAUUCAGGGAAAAAAAGUCAAUAGCAAAUAAGGAUGACCGAAGGAGUACCAAUUUUCAUCAUACAAUCAAUUUUAAUGUAACAUCUCAUCAAUGGGUAUGAUUAUGAUGAUGAAAGUGUUUCAAAUGGAUCCUACUUGUAAAGGGUCAAUCACGAUUCCAGAUUAAAUUUGAUUUCCAAUGAUUAAGCAAUGGGUUAUUUUAUUUAAGGUAUUUGGUUAAAAGAAGCUAACGAGUUAAAUUAGCAAAAUAAAAGACUGGAAAAGGCAAUGGGAAUGCUGACGAUCAAAUGGGAAAAGGAAGACGAAGAAGCGUAAAGAAGCAACAUUAAGAUGAACAAAUGGAAUAGAGAUAGAAGAGAGAAUCUUGAGGAGCAAAAUGAAGAUUCAAGUUAAUUAGUUUCUUUCCAUUUAAAGGUUACUCCACGGUUGGAAAGUAAUUUAUUUUUACCAAUGUAGAGUCAAAUUUUUGGCUAAUUAAUUCAAUGAUAUUGAAACAAGUGUCCCUUUAGCAGUAGCCUAACUCAUUUCCAAUGGUCUCUUGUCAUAUUGUAUCAUCACUCUAUCACCCUAUGAAUCAAUUUAAAAGUGAAAAAAUGUGACACUCCAAUUAGGUCUACAGCGAAACGAGAAGCAGAUGAAAUACUUGAGAGCAACUUUUCACAUUACCACUUGAAAUAUUCAUAAUUUAUCGUCUAUUUUAAGACUCAGUUCAACUUGUUCCAUUGAUAUUUUUAUCAUGACUGCAAACAUUGCUUUACGCCUUCGUCAUCUCAUUUUCCCUUCUCAUUUCUUGUCAAUUUACCUUACAAUCAAGUAGUUAAGAGAAUUACAAUUACUGUCAGUCUGAAGAUGAAAGGGAAAACACUGAAAACCUUGAUGGUUCUGUUUAAUUUUCAACGUCAUUUCAAUUUCUUGCUUCUUACAAGUCGUUUACCCCUUUAAACUGGUAAACAUUGAAUUAAUCUUUGAUUUCCAGCAGGCCAUGGCGAUAACAAUGUUGCAGUAAGCAUUAUUGUUGACUGAUUCUUCAGUUAAACAACUGAUA